GAUGAACGCUAGCUACAGGCUUAACACAUGCAAGUCGAGGGGCAUCACAGUGUAGCAAUACACGGGUGGCGACCGGCGCACGGGUGCGUAACACGUAUCCAAUCUGCCCGUUACUCGGGGAUAGCCUUCUGAAAGGAAGAUUAAUACCCGAUGGCAUGUAUUUCCGGCAUCGGAGAUACAUUAAAGAUUUAUCGGUAACGGAUGAGGAUGCGUACGAUUAGCUUGUUGGCGGGGUAACGGCCCACCAAGGCUACGAUCAGUAGCCGACCUGAGAGGGUAAUCGGCCACAUUGGAACUGAGACACGGUCCAAACUCCUACGGGAGGCAGCAGUGGGGAAUAUUGGGCAAUGGGGGGAAACCCUGACCCAGCAACGCCGCGUGAAGGAAGAAGGCCUUCAGGUUGUAAACUUCUUUAGCAGGGACGAAGGACGUGACGGUACCUGCAGAAAAAGCAACGGCUAACUACGUG
rnacentral:rRNA from 1 species